GUUAACAGAUAAAUCAUGUAUGCACAACAGUCGAACUGUUAAGAGAUAAUCUCAAUAACUAUUUUAAUUUAAACUCGAGAAGAGAGAAUCUAAUAGGAUUAUCGGCAAAGAGAAUCCAGAUUUUAUUCUUUCUGUUCACAUCAAGCUGGCGAGAUAAAAGGAACAAUCCAAAUAUUCCAGACCACGCCGACAUAUAUGGAAAAUCCAACAAUUUGCCCAAUAGAGAUUCUCUUAUGAACUUGACCUUGUCAUCUUCUAAAGCGGCUAUAAGGUCUUAGAUUAUGCAUCUAUGCUCAAUUUCUGAUAGGUUAUAACCCUUUGGCCCCAUGGUUAAAUUCCGGCUGAGAAUAUCCUUCUUGAUAAGUUGAUUGGCCAUCUGCAAAAUAAAACCAAAAAGUUAUUAGUAAACAUCAACAUCAGCAAAUCGCAAACAAAUCCACUUAACUCGAAAUAGGGGGAGUGGCGAAGCAUUGUUACCUCGUCGACAGCUUCACUAUCCGAGAAUUCCUCCCAUGAUCGAUUACAGAGAUAUAGUUAGAGUCACCGGUGCCAUAUCAAACCUUUUUUGGUGUGAGAACGAUAUAAUUUUGGAUAGCGUGUAGGAUUUUAA
rnacentral:lncRNA from 1 species